ACCAUUGGCGAGGAGAAACUCCUUGCUUAGAUUCUCGGAGAAGAAAAACGCGAGGCUUGACUCUGGCUUGGAAAAUGGCAUAAUAAUUGCGCCUUUGACUAUUUGCUAUGAUGGAACGAGUGUGAGUUUCAAUAUAUUCAGUGAUAAGGUGGCAAAUAUUCUAGAGUUUGCAGAAAGGUCAGAAACAAGAGAUGCAGUUUCAUCCGAAAAACAAUUGUUUGUGGAAACAUUAA